ensembl:lncRNA
GGGCCAAACAGGAGCACCUGUCAGGAGAGACGCACUCUGGCAGGCCAGGUGGUCUGACAAACGUUGAGCAGCUCCUGCACCAGCUAAGUCACCAGCCACCAGCCACCGACCCUACGGGAGCUGAGGGUGUCUCAGUCACCCUGGGACCUGGCACAGCUCUCUCUGCCUUGGGGUCCGCCUACACCUGAGUGGUAUUAACAAGUGCUGCCGCAACUUGCUUGCUAACCGCCCUUGGGAACAAACUCCAGGGCUGUUUUGCAGGUAAGCACCCUUUUCCAAGGUGCCAAGCCUCCGGAGAGGCCUGGUUAAACCUGGGCGGCGGGCCCAUCAGUGACAAGGGCUAGAAAGCCAAUCCCACUCGCGGGACCGUGGGGAAUCUAGGAAGAAGCUGUCGAGGGGGCCUUCCAUUCCCACAGAGGGCCAGAAAGCAAAAGACACACAGUUUGUCCGCUGAGCCCACCCACCAGGCAGGUUUGCUAAGGAGUUAAGGGCUGAGAAGCCCGGGGCCCUCCAGAUAGUCCAGCCUCGCCCUCCCGGAUAAAAGGUUACUGCAGGACGGGGGACACGCCACGCACACCUAGCGAGGGGGCCCCAAGCUCUCCUCCGCCCCCGCCCCGCAGUCGGCUGAUUGAGAUGCACGCCCGCCAGGGGCCUCCACUCACCGGUCUCAGAGCCCCCUCAGUCCGCCCAGCGCGGCCAGCACGGACCCAUGGAGCAGAAGGAGAGCCAGGCGUCGCAUGGCCGCUAAGAGAGCGAAGAAACCCAGCCGCGAGGCGCGUGGAUGCAGCCGGCCGGCAGAGCGCACUGGGCGCCCGGGCGGCUUUAACUCCUGUUCCCGUCCCGCACGGGGAACGCUGGCGCAGGUCCCACUCUUUGCAACUCCAUGGGCUGUAACCUGCCAGGAUCUUCUGUCCAUGGGAUUUUCCAGAGGUUCGUGACAUUGUUCAGGAGGCAGUGAUCAAAACCAUCCCCAAGAAAAAGAAAUGCAAAAAGGCAAAAUGGUUGUCUGAGGAGAUCUUACAAAUAACUGAGAAAAGAAGAGAUGCUAAAGGCAAAGGAGAAAAGGAAAGAGUUCCAAAGAAUAGCAAGCAGAGAUAAGAAAGCUUUCCUCAGUGAUCAGUGCAAAGAAAUAGAGAAAAAUAAUAGAAUGGGAAAGACUAGAGAGCUCUUCAAGAAAAUUAGAGAUACUGAGGGAACAUUUCAUGCAAAGAUGGGCACAAUAAAGGACAGAAAUGAUAUGGACCUAACAAAAGCAGAAGAUAUUAAGAACAGGUGGCAAGAAUACACAGAAGAACUGUACAAAAAAGAUCUUCAUAACCCAUAUAACCACAAUGGUGUGAUCACUGACCUAGAGCCAGACAUCCUGGAAUGUGAAGUCAAGUGGGCCUUAGGAAGCAUCACUAUGAACAAAGCUAGUGGAGGUGAUGGAAUUCCAGUUGAGCUAUUUCAAAUCCUAAAAGAUGAUGCUGUGAAAGUGCCACACUCAAUAUGCCAGCAAAUUUGUCAGUGGCCACAGGACUGGGAAAGGUCAGUUUUCAUUCCAAUCCCAAAGAAGGGCAAUGCCAAAGAAUGUUCACAUUACUACACAAUUGCACUCAUCUCACACACUAGCAAAGUAAUGCUCAAAAUUCUCCAAGCCAGGCUUCAACAGUGCAUGAACCAUGAACUUCCAGAUGUUCAAGCUGGAUUUAGAAAAGGCAGAGGAACCAGAGAUAAAUUGCAAAUAUCCAUUGGAUCAUAGAAAAGCAAGAGAAUUUUUUAAAAAAAUCUACUUCUGCUUUAUUCAUUACGCCAAAGCCUUUGACUGUAUAGAUAACAACAAACUGUGGAAAAUUCUGAAAGAGAUGGGAAUACCAGACCACCUGAUCUGCCUCCUGAGAAAUCUGUAUGCAGGUCAAGAAGCAACAGUUAGAACUUGACAUGGAACAACAGACUGGUUCCAAAUUAGGAAAGGAGUACAUCAAGCCUAUAUAUCGCCACCCUGCUUAUUUAACUUAUAUGCAGAGUACAUCAUGCGAAAUGCCAGACUGGAUGAAGCGCAAGCUGGACUCAAGAUUGCUGGAGGAAAUAUCAAUAACCUCAGAUAUGCAGAUGACACCACCCUUAUGGCAGAAAGUGAUGAGGAACUAAAGAGCCUAUUGAUGAAAGUGAAAGAGGACAGCAAAAAAGCUGGCUUAAAAUUCAACAUUCAGAAAACUAAGAUCACGGCAUCUGAUCCCAUCACUCCAUGGCAAAUAGAUGGAGAAACAAUGGAAACAGUAACAGACUUUAUUUUUUUGGGCUCCAAAAUCACUGCAUAUGGUGACUGCAGCCAUGAAAUUAAAAGACACUUACUCCUUGGAAUAAAAGCUAUGACCAACGUAGACAGUAUACUAAAAAGCAGAGACAUUACUUUGCCAACUGUCUGUUUAGUCAAAGCUAUGGUUUUUCCAGUAGUCAUGUAUGGAUGUGAGAGUUGGACUAUAAAGAAAGCUGAGCACUGAAGAAUUGAUGCUUUUGAACUGUGGUGUUGGAGGAGACUCUUGAGAGUCCCUUGGACUGCAAGGAGAUCCAACCAGCCCAUCCUAAAGGAAAUCAGUCCUGAAUAUUCAUUGGAAGGACUGAUGCUGAAGCUGAAGCUCCAAUACUUUGGCCACCUGAUGGGAAGAACUGACUCAUUGGAAAAGACCCUGAUGCUGGGAAAGAUUGAAGGCAGUAGAAGAAGGGGACGACACAGGAUUAGAUGGUUGGAUGGCAUCACGGACUCAAUGGACAUGAGUGUGGGCAAGCUCUGGGAGUUGAUGAUGGACAGGGAAACCUGGCCUGCUGCAGUCCAUGGGGUCGCAGAGUCGGACACGACUGAGUGACUGAACUGAACUGAACCUCCACUUCAGAUGCCUCUUCCCAGGCGGCACAGUGGCCUCCUGCCAAUGCAGGAGGCAUAAGAGAUGCAGGUUUGAUCCCUGAGUUGGGAAGAUCCUUUGGAGGAGGAAAUGGCAACCCAUUCUCGUAUUCUUGUUUGGAAAAUCCCAUGGACAGAGGAGCCUGGCAGGUUACAGUCCAGGGGACUGCAAAAAGGCAGACACAACUGAGCACACACACACAUAUAUUAUGUUUAGGUUUUUAGUGUAUACGACUUUCACCCUUGUGCUUCCAUCUCACUUCCCCACCUCCACCCCCAGCAAGCACUUAGGUACUAAGCAAACACUAAGUUGGUCUCAGUCCAACUCAGGCCUCCUGCCCAAAGGCUGCACUAAUGACAGGCAUGUUUCUGUGGCGGAAUCUCAAAAGCAGCAGGCAACAAUUUAAUUAGCUCCAAGUCAAUAAACCUCCACGAACCCCAGCAAGGCAGUAAAGCAUAAGCCUCACUAGUAAUUAUCAGCAAAAGAUUAUUCAUGUAGAACUAUGAUGCUUAACAUUUGGCAGUAUCUAACAU